rnacentral:tRNA from 1 species
GUCCUCGUAGCUUAAUGGAUAGAGCAUCGGUUUGCGGAACCGAAGGUUGGAGGUUCGAGUCCCCCCGAGGACG